AGAGUUUGAUUCUGGCUCAGGAUGAACGCUAGCGACAGGCUUAACACAUGCAAGUCGAGGGGCAGCGGGGUAGGAAGCUUGCUUUCUGCCGCCGGCGACCGGCGCACGGGUGAGUAACACGUAUGCAACCUGGCCGUGACAGAUGGAUAACCGGGAGAAAUCCCGCCUAAUACAACAUAAUGCCGGGAGGGGACAUCCCCUGCCGGCCAAAGGGGGCGACCCCGGUCACGGAUGGGCAUGCGGCGCAUUAGGUAGUUGGUGGGGCAACGGCCCACCAAGCCGACGAUGCGUAGGGGUUCUGAGAGGAAGGUCCCCCACAUUGGAACUGAGACACGGUCCAAACUCCUACGGGAGGCAGCAGUGAGGAAUAUUGGUCAAUGGCCGGAAGGCUGAACCAGCCAAGUCGCGUGAGGGAAUAAGGCCCUACGGGUCGUAAACCUCUUUUGCCAGGGAGCAAUGCCGUCCACGUGUGGACGGAAGGAGAGUACCUGGAGAAAAAGCAUCGGCUAACUCCGUGCCAGCAGCCGCGGUAAUACGGAGGAUGCGAGCGUUAUCCGGAUUUAUUGGGUUUAAAGGGUGCGUAGGCGGCCUGCCAAGUCAGCGGUAAAAUUGCGGGGCUCAACCCCGUACAGCCGUUGAAACUGCCGGGCUCGAGUGGGCGAGAAGUAUGCGGAAUGCGUGGUGUAGCGGUGAAAUGCAUAGAUAUCACGCAGAACCCCGAUUGCGAAGGCAGCAUACCGGCGCCCGACUGACGCUGAGGCACGAAAGUGCGGGGAUCAAACAGGAUUAGAUACCCUGGUAGUCCGCACAGUAAACGAUGAAUGCUAGCUGUCCGGGGGGAUUGACCCCUGGGGGCACAGCGAAAGCGUUAAGCAUUCCCCCCUGGGGAG
rnacentral:rRNA from 1 species